CCUAGUCACACCCUCUCCCUCCCCCCACACAUCUCCCCAAAAAUACACAUCUAUUUUUGGGGAGAUGUGUGGGGGGAGGGAGAGGGUGUGACUAGG
rnacentral:miRNA from 1 species